rnacentral:rRNA from 1 species
CCUACGGGAGGCAGCAGUGGGGAAUAUUGGACAAUGGGGGGAACCCUGAUCCAGCGACGCCGCGUGAGUGAAGAAGUAUUUCGGUAUGUAAAGCUCUAUCAGCAGGGAAGAAAAUGACGGUGCCUGACUAAGAAGCCCCGGCUAACUACGUGCCAGCAGCCGCGGUAAUACGUAGGGGGCAAGCGUUAUCCGGAUUUACUGGGUGUAAAGGGAGCGUAGACGGCAGCACAAGUCUGGAGUGAAAUGCCGGGGCUUAACCCCGGAACUGCUUUGGAAACUGUGCAGCUAGAGUGCAGGAGAGGUAAGUGGAAUUCCUAGUGUAGCGGUGAAAUGCGUAGAUAUUAGGAGGAACACCAGUGGCGAAGGCGGCUUACUGGACUGUAACUGACGUUGAGGCUCGAAAGCGUGGGGAGCAAACAGGAUUAGAUACCCCUGUAGUC